rnacentral:pre_miRNA from 1 species
AAUGUACUCCCUCCGUCCCAAAAUUCUUGUCUUAAAUUUGUCUAAAUACAGAUAUAUCAAGUCACGUUUUAGUAUUAGAUACAUCCGUAUCUAGACAAAUCUAAGACAAGAAUUUUGGGACGGAGGGAGUAAUUG